rnacentral:rRNA from 1 species
GACGAACGCUGGCGGCAUGCCUAACACAUGCAAGUCGAACGAGACCUUCGGGCCUAGUGGCGCACGGGUGCGUGACAAGGGGGAACCUGCCCUUGGGUUCGGUAUAACUCCCCGAGAGGGAUGCUAAUACCGCUUAAUCUCUUCCGGGCAAAGAUCUGUCGCUUUGUGGUGGGCGCGCGGUAGAUUCGGUAGUUGGUGGGGGAAAGGCUUACCAAGGCGACGAUCGGUAGCUGGUCUGUGAGGAGGACCGUCCACAUUGGAACUGGGAUACGGCACAGACCCCUACGGGCGGCAGCAGGGGGGAAUAUUGAACAUUGGGCGGAAGCCUGAUGCAGCAACGCCGAGUGCGGGAUGAGGGCCUUCGGGUUGAAGACCGCAUUCGCCUUUGACGAAGCGUGAGUGACGGUAAUGGGUAAAGAAGCACCGGCUAACUCCGUG